GCCAAUUUAGUAUAAAUAUUGUGUUUUCAAAACUAUACUGCAGGCUUGUAGCCCACCUGUGUUACCCUUCGUGAAACAUAUAGUAUAUUGGCCUGCUAUCAAAACAUAGUUGCUAUUUCAUAUUUUUUCUAGAAACUUUUCUUGAUCGACUUCAUUCAGUUCAUUGUUUCUUUGGUUUAUACUAAAGAAAUUAUGCCACCAAAAAGAGCUAGAGUUUCAGCAGAAUGCGCAAUUGCAAAUAUUAUGCGAUUUAUGGAACAAUAUGACAACAAUGACAGUGUCACAGUGAUGAUGGUGAAAUCACUCAAUCAGUGAUGUUGAAAAUUUU